GAGAGCCCGGUGCAUUGAAAGGUGCACGCCGGGUUCGGGAAGCGGCCCGGGAAAACGGAACAACCCCAAC
rfam:Mycobacterium intermedium strain HMC2_M5 PROKKA_contig000179, whole genome shotgun sequence.